AGAUGGCGACCGGCGCACGGGUGAGUAACACGUAUCCAACCUGCCGAUAACUCGGGGAUAGCCUUUCGAAAGAAAGAUUAAUACCCGAUGGCAUAAUUAGACCGCAUGGUCUUAUUAUUAAAGAAUUUCGGUUAUCGAUGGGGAUGCGUUCCAUUAGGCAGUCGGUGAGGUAACGGCUCACCAAACCUUCGAUGGAUAGGGGUUCUGAGAGGAAGGUCCCCCACAUUGGAACUGAGACACGGUCCAA
rnacentral:rRNA from 1 species